rnacentral:lncRNA from 1 species
AUUAUUUUAAAAUCAUUUUUUAACCCUUGUAUUCUAAAAAAAAAACCUAGAACUAAAAAAUUUCCUUUGUUUCCCCUUGUUUCCAGCCGAAAGGCUAAUUCCCCAGGCCUUUAAUUGCCACCGAGACCGACUGCGACAAUCGAAGCAGGGCCUUCCAGUGGUGCGUGCGCGAUGUAACUCUGGUGAGUUUCUCUCUCUCUCUUAUAUUUUUUUUCACACACAAAAAAUAGAUUAAAGGAUAACAGCAAAAUCGAAAGGAGAAGAAAAACUAAAAAUCGCCUUUAACAAAUGUUAUUGUUAUGGAUCUCUGUUUAUUUUUUUAUAUUUUGAAUCUAUGUUCUCUUCAAAAAAACCCAUCAUCUUUACAAUCAAAAUUCGAAGGCUUUAUAGCCAACAUACAAGCGGUUUCUUACUGUUUUUCGUUCAAGUCGUAGGUUGUGGAGUUGUGGAGAACGAAGAGCCCAGAGCGCGGGUGCGAACAUGGAGCGAGGCACAUGGGGAUCGUGCGUGGAGGCGCUAGUGCUGCUACGCAGAGGGAAACUUAGGGUUUCUAAAACCCCAAAACUUUGGGCCUAUCAGGCCUUUGUAUUUUGGGCCUAAGUCUUUGUUUUAUGAAUUGGGCCUGGUGUAACUAAAUUUGGACUAUUAUUUUUUUGUUUUUUGUAUUGGUAUAGGCUGAAAUUGGUAUUUGGUUUUUUGGUUUAUUUGGAUUUGUUGGGCUCGGGCAAAAAUUGGGCCUUACAUAUUUUAUAUAUAAAAUUACAUUUUAUGUUCAUGUUAAAUCAUGUUAGUGGCAUGAUUGAAGAUAAACUAUCAACAAUUAUAUAUGUGAUAUCGCAGCCAUUAAUCACAAAUCUCAAUUUUAAUUAUGAAUGUAUUCAAAUAAGAUAUAAAGCUUAUUGCAUCACCUUCAUAUGCUCCUACACGUGUCUUUUGCAGUUAAAC